GGGCGGUUAGCUCAACUGGCAGAGCACUCGGUUUACACCCGAGAGGUCAUAGGUUCAAACCCUAUACCGCCCA
rnacentral:tRNA from 1 species